UGGGGAAUUUUGGACAAUGGGCGAAAGCCUGAUCCAGCAAUGCCGCGUGUGUGAAGAAGGCCUUCGGGUUGUAAAGCACUUUUGUCCGGAAAGAAAUCCUUGGCUCUAAUACAGUCGGGGGAUGACGGUACCGGAAGAAUAAGCACCGGCUAACUACGUGCCAGCAGCCGCGGUAAUACGUAGGGUGCAAGCGUUAAUCGGAAUUACUGGGCGUAAAGCGUGCGCAGGCGGUUUGCUAAGACCGAUGUGAAAUCCCCGGGCUCAACCUGGGAACUGCAUGUGGUACUGGCAGGCUAGAGUAUGGCAGAGGGGGGUAGAAUUCCACGUGUAGCAGUGAAAUGCGUAGAGAUGUGGAGGAAUACCGAUGGCGAAGGCAGCCCCCUGGGCCAAUACUGACGCUCAUGCACGAAAGCGUGGGGAGCAAACAGGAUUAGAUACCCUGGUAGUCCACGCCCUAAACGAUGUCAACUAGUUGUUGGGGAUUCAUUUCCUUAGUAACGUAGCUAACGCGUGAAGUUGACCGCCUGGGGAGUACGGUCGCAAGAUUAAAACUUAAAUGAAUUGACGGGGUCAUAGCUGUUUCCU
rnacentral:rRNA from 1 species